rnacentral:rRNA from 1 species
GACGAACGCUGGCGGCAGGCCUAACACAUGCAAGUCGAGCGGAGCUGCGGACGGGUGAGUAUUGCCUAGGAAUCUGCCUUGUAGUGGGGGAUAACGUCCGCAAACGGGCGCUAAUACCACAUACUAUCAGAUGAGCCUAGGUCGGAUUAGCUAGUUGGUGGGGUAAAGGCAGACCAAGGCGACGAUCCGUAACUGGUCUGAGAGGAUGAUCAGUCACACUGGAACUGAGACACGGUCCAGACUCCAACGGGAGGCAGCAGUGGGGAAUAUUGGACAAGGGGCGAAAGCCUGAUCCAGCCAUGCCGCGUGUGUGAAGAAGGUCUUCGGAUUGUAAAGCACUUUAAGUUGGGAGGCGUUACCAACAGAAUAAGCACCGGCUAACUUCGUGCCAGCAGCCGCGGUAAUAC